AUGGACAGCGACGACGAACUCCCCUUCGAUUUCUUCUCGCAGACGGCGUCUUCCGGUGCUGCGGUGCACCACAUCGACGAGGACGGGUGGGGGAUGACGCCCUCGUCUCCGGGGAUCCGCCGGCCGCGGCUUGGUGGCAGGGGGGCUCCGCGCUCCCAUCGGGUUGGAGAACAUCGACCUCAACGGCAACUCCACCAUCGCCGCCUCUUACCCCAACAUGCGCAUGUACACGCACCUUUUUCAUCCCGGGAGUGCGGCCGGCCAUGGUGUGCCCCUCCAUCGGACGGACGGCGUGGCGCAGCGGCAGGGUCGUCCACCUCACCAAGGUCUCCCCCCAGUGAGGGCCCCGGAUCGUCGUGCCAAGCAGGUCGUCGCGACGUCGGGACGAGGUGGUGCUGGUUCAAGUCGCUCAGGCAGCGGCAGGCAGCACCGAUCAUGGUAGAAGAUGUUGAGAAAGAAGAUGAACCAGAGGAAGACGACAGCAUGCUGAACCAGCAUAUCCAGAGGCCAAAAAGCAAGGCUAACUGGAAAGACAGAAAUACAUUGACUUUAUGUGAAAUAGCUUGUGAGGAAAUAGAUGCUGGCAAUUACGCUGGUAGAGUUUGGAGCCCUCAGGCAUACAAGAAUAUGAGGGAGAAAUAUUGGGAAAGGGCAAAGCUGUGGCAUCCAAGCAGGGAAUUCAGGAACAAAAUAACUAACUUGAAGGGCUUGUACAAUGAUUGGGUAUGGUUGCAGCAGCAAAACGGCUGCGGCCGCGGCUUAGAUGGCGAAGUGACGGCAACUGCAGAUUGGUGGGAGAAAGAAAUCAAGGACAGACCAAAUCUCAAGAAAUUUAGAAAUGGUAACCCUGAGUAUAUGCCCCUGUUACAUGAGAUAUUUCAUGAGGUCGCUGUGGAUGGUUCAUCUGCUUAUGUUCCUGGGACAGAAGAUUGUUUGGAGUUAAAUAAUGAUGAUGACCUGGAUGGCAAUGAAGGCUUUGUGUCGAGCCCUAUGAGUACCAACACUCAAAAGAGAGGGAGCCGCUCAGAGUUAAGGAGUAUAGCUAGUAGUCCUUCAAAGAGAAGCAAAACUUUAGACAACAUGCCUCGUACUCAAGGCAAAACUCGGGGUCCAUUUGUAAAAUAUAUGAAGGACAUUGAAACUAAGUUGGAGAAGGAAAGUGAGAAAACAGACUCUAUUUUGCAGGCUCUUGUGAACCAAGGCAAUGAAAAGGUUAGGAGAAGUGAGGAACGUGCUCAGUCAGUAAAAAACUGUCAGAACCUUGCCAUUGAGUGUGGAGCAUCAGAAGAGUCAGUUGAGUACUUUGUUGCUUGUGAUUUAUUCAAGGAGAAACACAACAGAACUGUCUUCCAGAACAUGAAGACCCCUGAAGCUAGGUUGAUAUGGUUGAAGAGAUGGUGCAGGGCAAAGAACAUGUAUGCAGCAGAUGGCGAGAUAUGA
rnacentral:rRNA from 1 species